rnacentral:rRNA from 1 species
GAUGAACGCUGGCGGCGUGCUUAACACAUGCAAGUCGAACGGAAAGGCCCAAGCUUGCUUGGGUACUCGAGUGGCGAACGGGUGAGUAACACGUGGGUGAUCUGCCCUUCACUUCGGGAUAAGCCUUGGAAACUGGGGCUAAUACCGGAUAGGACCACAUUUUGGAUGGGGUGGUGGAAAGUUUUUCGGUGUGGGAUGAGCUCGCGGCCUAUCAGCUUGUUGGUGGGGUAAUGGCCUACCAAGGCGUCGACGGGUAGCCGGCCUGAGAGGGUGUACGGCCACAUUGGGACUGAGAUACGGCCCAGACUCCUAAGGGAGGCAGCAGUGGGGAAUAUUGCACAAUGGGCGCAAGCCUGAUGCAGCGACGCCGCGUGGGGGAUGACGGCCUUCGGGUUGUAAACUCCUUUCGCUAGGGACGAAGCGUUUUUGUGACGGUACCUGGAGAAGAAGCACCGGCUAACUACGUG